rnacentral:rRNA from 1 species
GAUCCUGGCUCAGGACGAACGCUGGCGGCGUGCUUAACACAUGCAAGUCGAACGGAGCACCCUUGAUUGAGGUUUCGGCCAAAUGAUAGGAAUGCUUAGUGGCGGACUGGUGAGUAACGCGUGGGGAACCUGCCUUUCAGAGAGGGACAACAGUUGGAAACGACUGCUAAUACCGCAUGACGCAUUUUGAUCGCAUGGUCGAAAUGCCAAAGAUUUAUCGCUGAAAGAUGG